rnacentral:rRNA from 1 species
GAUGAACGCUAGCGGCAGGCUUAACACAUGCAAGUCGAGGGGUAACAGGGAGAGCUUGCUUUCUGCUGACGACCGGCGCACGGGUGCGUAACGCGUAUACAAUCUACCUUAUACUGGGGUAUAGCCUUUAGAAAUGAAGAUUAAUCCCCCAUAGUCUCUUUUUGUGGCAUCACUAAAGGAGUAAAGGUUACGGUAUAAGAUGAGUAUGCGUUCUAUUAGUUUGUUGGUGUGGUAACGGCACACCAAGACUACGAUAGAUAGGGGCCCUGAGAGGGGGAUCCCCCACACUGGUACUGAGACACGGACCAGACUCCUACGGGAGGCAGCAGUGAGGAAUAUUGGACAAUGGAGGCAACUCUGAUCCAGCCAUGCCGCGUGUAGGAUGACUGCCCUAUGGGUUGUAAACUACUUUUAUACAGGAAGAAACACCUCUACGUGUAGAGGCUUGACGGUACUGUAAGAAUAAGGAUCGGCUAACUCCGUGCCAGCAGCCGCGGUAAUACGGAGGAUCCAAGCGUUAUCCGGAAUCAUUGGGUUUAAAGGGUCCGUAGGUUGAUAAUUAAGUCAGAGGUGAAAUCUUGCAGCUCAACUGUAAAAUUGCCUUUGAUACUGAUUAUCUUGAGUUAUUAUGAAGUAGUUAGAAUAUGUAGUGUAGCGGUGAAAUGCAUAGAUAUUACAUAGAAUACCAAUUGCGAAGGCAGAUUACUAAUAAUCAACUGACACUGA